rnacentral:rRNA from 1 species
GAUGAACGCUGGCGGCGUGCCUAAUACAUGCAAGUCGAGCGGGGAUUUUAAGAGAGCUUGCUCUCUUAAAAUCCUAGCGGCGGACGGGUGAGUAACACGUGGGCAACCUGCCCUUUGGACUGGGAUAACAUAGGGAAACCGAUGCUAAUACCGGAUAGGAAAUUUGGUCGUAUGACCGAAUUUGGAAAGUUGGCUUCGGCUAACACCUAAGGCUGCGCCCGCGGCGCAUUAGCUAGUUGGUGGGGUAGAGGCCUACCAAGGCGACGAGGCGUAGCCGACCUGAGAGGGUGAUCGGCCACACUGGGACUGAGACACGGCCCAGACUCCUACGGGAGGCAGCAGUAGGGAAUCUUCGGCAAUGGGCGAAAGCCUGACCGAGCAACGCCGCGUGAGUGAAGAAGGUUUUCGGGUCGUAAACCCCUGUCAGAGGGAAAGAAGGGUCGCUUGGCUAAUAUCCAAGUGAUCUGACGGUACCUUCAGAGGAAGCCCCGGCCAACUCUGUGCCAGCCGCCGCAGUAACAC